rnacentral:rRNA from 1 species
GUAGUCCUAAAAGGGACCCGUAAAUUUUUACCUGGGACCCCUAGAGUUUGAACCGGGCUACGGAAAUUUUUAACCGGGGGACCCUAAAUUUUUUACGGAAUAACGCAUGGUUUCGUGUGCUAAUACCGUAUACGCCCUUAGGGGGAAAGAUUUAUCGGGGUAUGAUGAGCCCGCGUUGGAUUAGCUAGUUGGUGGGGUAAAGGCCUACCAAGGCGACGAUCCAUAGCUGGUCUGAGAGGAUGAUCAGCCACAUUGGGACUGAAACACGGCCCAAACUCCUACGGGAGGCAGCAGUGGGGAAUAUUGGACAAUGGGCGCAAGCCUGAUCCAGCCAUGCCGCGUGAGUGAUGAAGGUCUUAGGAUUGUAAAGCUCUUUCACCGAUGAAAAUAAUGACGGUAGUCGGAAAAAAAGCCCCGGCUAACUUCGUGCCAGCAGCCGCGGUAAUACGAAGGGGGCUAGCGUUGUUCGGAAUUACUGGGCGUAAAGCGCACGUAGGCGGAUAUUUAAGUCAGGGGUGAAAUCCCGCACUCAACUGCGGAACUGCCUUUGAUACUGGGUAUCUCGAGUAUGGAAGAGUGAGUGGAAUUCCGAGUGUAGAGGUGAAAUUCUAAAUAUUCGGAGGAACACCAGUGGGCGAAGGGGCUCACUGGUCCAUUACUGACGCUGAGGUGCGAAGCGUGGGGAACAAACAGGAUU